rnacentral:lncRNA from 1 species
AAAAUUUGAUGGGCAAUAAUAAUAAUUAGGCAAGAGUAAUUAGAAUCAUAUAUAUUCUAAAAGUUGGGAGAAAAUUAAGUUAGGAAUAAUUUUUAUCAGUGCGUGAUAACAAGGAGGCAAGAAGAACAAGAGCAAUUUGAAGAUAGCUAGGUUUUUGAAAAGGGAAUUCACAGGAGCUACUUGAAUUGCUAUUGUUGUUGGAAAUAUAAGGUAAGGGGGAGAAAUGGCUCUCAAUAUGCAUGUAUUGUAUGAUGGGGUAUAGAAGAGAGAUCAUUGCUCUUAUUAGGGUUCUA